rnacentral:rRNA from 1 species
GAUGAACGCUGGCGGCGUGCCUAAUACAUGCAAGUCGAGCGAACGGACGAGAAGCUUGCUUCUCUGAUGUUAGCGGCGGACGGGUGAGUAACACGUGGAUAACCUACCUAUAAGACUGGGAUAACUUCGGGAAACCGGAGCUAAUACCGGAUAAUAUUUUGAACCGCAUGGUUCAAAAGUGAAAGACGGUCUUGCUGUCACUUAUAGAUGGAUCCGCGCUGCAUUAGCUAGUUGGUGAGGUAACGGCUUACCAAGGCAACGAUGCAUAGCCGACCUGAGAGGGUGAUCGGCCACACUGGAACUGAGACACGGUCCAGACUCCUACGGGAGGCAGCAGUAGGGAAUCUUCCGCAAUGGGCGAAAGCCUGACGGAGCAACGCCGCGUGAGUGAUGAAGGUCUUCGGAUCGUAAAACUCUGUUAUUAGGGAAGAACAUAUGUGUAAGUAACUGUGCACAUCUUGACGGUACCUAAUCAGAAAGCCACGGCUAACUACGUGCCAGCAGCCGCGGUAAUACGUAGGUGGCAAGCGUUAUCCGGAAUUAUUGGGCGUAAAGCGCGCGUAGGCGGUUUUUUAAGUCUGAUGUGAAAGCCCACGGCUCAACCGUGGAGGGUCAUUGGAAACUGGAAAACUUGAGUGCAGAAGAGGAAAGUGGAAUUCCAUGUGUAGCGGUGAAAUGCGCAGAGAUAUGGAGGAACACCAGUGGCGAAGGCGACUUUCUGGUCUGUAACUGACGCUGAUGUGCGAAAGCGUGGGGAUCAAACAGGAUUAGAUACCCUGGUAGUCCACGCCGUAAACGAUGAGUGCUAAGUGUUAGGGGGUUUCCGCCCCUUAGUGCUGCAGCUAACGCAUUAAGCACUCCGCCUGGGGAGUGCGACCGCAAGGUUGAAACUCAAAGGAAUUGACGGGGACCCGCACAAGCGGUGGAGCAUGUGGUUUAAUUCGAAGCAACGCGAAGAACCUUACCAAAUCUUGACAUCCUUUGACAACUCUAGAGAUAGAGCUUUCCCCUUCGGGGGACAAAGUGACAGGUGGUGCAUGGUUGUCGUCAGUUCGUGUCGUGAGAUGUUGGGUUAAGUCCCGCAACGAGCGCAACCCUUAAGCUUAGUUGCCAUCAUUAAGUUGGGCACUCUAAGUUGACUGCCGGUGACAAACCGGAGGAAGGUGGGGAUGACGUCAAAUCAUCAUGCCCCUUAUGAUUUGGGCUACACACGUGCUACAAUGGACAAUACAAAGGGCAGCGAAACCGUGAGGUCAAGCAAAUCCCAUAAAGUUGUUCUCAGUUCGGAUUGUAGUCUGCAACUCGACUACAUGAAGCUGGAAUCGCUAGUAAUCGUAGAUCAGCAUGCUACGGUGAAUACGUUCCCGGGUCU